rnacentral:rRNA from 1 species
AUUGAACGCUGGCGGCAUGCCUUACACAUGCAAGUCGAACGGUAACAGGUCUUCGGAUGCUGACGAGUGGCGAACGGGUGAGUAAUACAUCGGAACGUGCCUAGUAGUGGGGGAUAACUACUCGAAAGAGUGGCUAAUACCGCAUGAGAUCUACGGAUGAAAGCAGGGGAUCGCAAGACCUUGUGCUACUAGAGCGGCCGAUGGCAGAUUGGGUAGUUGGUGGGAUAAAAGCUUACCAAGCCGACGAUCUGUAGCUGGGCUGAGAGGACGAUCAGCCACACUGGGACUGAGACACGGCCCAGACUCCUACGGGAGGCAGCAGUGGGGAAUUUUGGACAAUGGGCGAAAGCCUGAUCCAGCAAUGCCGCGUGCAGGAUGAAGGCCUUCGGGUUGUAAACUGCUUUUGUACGGAACGAAAAGCCCCGGGUUAAUACCCUGGGGUCAUGACGGUACCGUAAGAAUAAGCACCGGCUAACUACGUGCCAGCAGCCGCCGCAG